GCCAGCAGGGCAGGGUGGGGAGGGGCACCAGGCAUGAGUGCAGCUAGGGGGUGGCGGCCGGCAGGCAGGUGGGGUCCCUAGCGGCCUGAGCCCUCUGCUCUCCGUUGGCCACUCGGCCGGAGGCUCGAAGCCCGUCUGCGGGGGGCCCCUCUGGCCAGGCUGCGCCUGCCCUGGAAUUGGGAAGGGCCCGACAACAGGUCGUGAGGCCUACUCGACGCCGUCAGCGGAGAACCCCCGUGACUCCGUUCCAUCUUCUUGGCCCCAGGAGGACAAAUAAGCAUGGAUAUGGCCUGCAGUCUCUGAGGUCCUGGAGCCUGUGACCCGGAGGGACGACCCUGAGUGACAACCGGUUCCUACAGAUGGCGAGCGACUCCCUGCGUGGUGUCCUUGAAUUCCAGCCAGCAAACCCGGAGCCCUCAGCCCUCCCCGCCUGCUGUUUAUCACAAGGUCCCGCAGUGCGAGGACCCUGCCCCACGUCAGCGCAGCGCCGGGUACGGGACCACGAGAGGCUGCCGCUGCAACCUCGGCCUGUUCAGCUGCACACCCUGCUUGCCCGACGUCUCCCAACAACCACAAUAAAGGCUUUGUUCUUGUU